UACAAUUCUUGAUCAUGAUAAGAAAAAAUGAGUUAUUGACAACUAAUGUGGAUUAGAAGACAUAUCUCACUAGUACAACCUAAUCAUGUUUGUUCAAGAAUGGAAAUAAAUUGAUGUGGAUUAGAAGACAUAUCUCACUAGUACAACCUAAUCAUGUUUGUUCAAGAAUGGAAAUAAAUUGACUAAUGACGGAAAAAAAGUUGAAAACGCAUUAUAUCACACAAAAAAAACGCUUAUUUGCAAGCACAUAUUUACAAACACAGCAUGUGCUCACAAAUUCUAGCAGAAUUGCGAGCAAAAUUGCGAGUAAAAAGCUUGUGCUUGCUAUUUUGCGAGCAAGUAGUGCUCGCAAACAACAAUUUAGUUUUUACUUCAAUAGUUUUCUAGUAAACGAAUUGUGCUUGCUACACUGCUUGCAAAUUUGCGAGCACAAUUAACGGUGCUUGCAAAAUUAUUACUACUAGUAACUAUUAUCCAGAUGCAUCUUCCUCAUUUUUUUUCCACCUCAUUCUCUUUCUUCUAUUUUUUGUUUGCGAUUUCUUCAAGUGUUAUCUUUCUCAUUUUUUCUGUUCCUUUUUUUCUGUCUUUUUUCUUGCUUUUACGAUGUCCUCAGUGAAAUAAUGGGCCGCAAACCCUACACUGAAAAUACUUCUCAAAAUUUCUCACCGCCUAAUUCUUUUCCCAGCCUAAUUCUCACCAUCUCUCUCAAUUCUCAAAAUUCUCACCGCCAGUCUCUCUCCCUAAAGAAACCCUAAACCUCCCCCUCUCUCGUAUCAUCUCUCACUAAACCAUGUGCUGCGCUCUGAUUCAUUUCAUCCUUGCGCCUUCGAAAAGUUAUCAGCGGUGAGAUUCGAUCGGAGGAUCAAACGUUGUCGCACAAAGCUUCUCGAAGAGCAGAUUCACGAUUCUAGCGUUUCUUUUGUUGCUUUUUUUCAAAUUGUUUGAAUUGAGAGAAUGAGUAAUUAGAUCCUGUGAAGCCGAAACUCUGGUGAGUGAACUGCUUCUGGACGUUUAGCUAUAUGUUAGCUAUGGAUUGCUCACUGCUCACUUACAAUUUUACUUUUUUACAGUCAUCCGUUCAUUGUUAAACCCCUCUCUAGUCAAAAUUUUGACUGGAAUAGAAAGGUUGAUUAAAUUUUCUAAGAAAAGUUAAGAAACAGAACCUUAAAUAUAGGUAUUGAAUAUUGAAGGAGAUUCACUAUUGUUCCAGCUAUGUUUAUGUGUUGUUUCUCACAAUCAUAACAAACACAUUAGUAUUGAUCCCAUAUCUUCAUGUGAUUGUACAUAAAAAUGGAGUAUAAAAUAUAUCAUGUUGCUGAUUUGUGCUUGUGUUAGAGGGCACAAAGUUAUAUAACUAAUCCAAUAAAAUCAAUUCACCUCGUUUCUCAUUGAUUAGGAGCUGUCAACUGUGUGAAUACUACAAAAUCCUCAAUCGGUUUACACACUUAUCUGAUUUCUAGGUGAAAUUAUGGUUAGAUUUUCAAUUUCUUAGUUAUUUCCAUGUGGAUUUUGAAUAUUUCACUUUUAUUUGUAUUUUUUUAUGUAUUUUCAUCAUUUGCAGAUUUGUUUAUUUCUGUGUAAAUUGUAACGAUGUGAAAAACUUGGAGAAGUUUUCAAAGAGGUAAGAGUCAAUUCCUGUUGGAAAAUAAACAUCGUUUCGAAGUUUAUAAGUUGUAAGAGCUUUUGAUUUACUGAGAUUUAUGUGUGGUAGAAACCAAAUUUGAUUUUUGAGCUCACUGAUUUUAGUUCUAAGGGGAGAUUUCAUUUUGAAGUUGUCUUUCAAGCUGCAAACUGGUAAUAGGCAUAUCUCCUAACUGUACCAUUUCUCAUUUGCAAAAUUCAUGUUUCUGCAAAUGAAUGAAUAUGCUUUGAGUGUGUGUGAUUUCCUUAACUACCAUUCCGUCAGACUAGAAAAUUAAUUUUAAACUACCUGAUUUUGGCAGCCUACACAUUAUGUUAUAUGUAUUAAUUUCUUGAGAGUUUCCUUGAUCUCAGUGAAAGGAUGGAGCCACAUAUGAAGUAAGUAUCUUCUUGAUCCUAAACCUAGAUUAUGUUAAUAUGAGUAUUUCUAUCAAUGCAGCAGGAAAUCGAAAAAUUGCGGGAGCUGGUAAAGGUCCUUAGUCAACAAGUUCAAGAGAGGAGGAGAAGAAGUGCAUAGAUUUAGGGAGUGUUAGGUUUGACAUCUAUGUUUAUGGAAGAAAAGGGAGGGUUUUUUUUUUCUAUUCUAGCUUCAUGGUCUGCAAGUUAUGAAACAGUGGUUUGAUAGUUAUUAUUUUAGAAGAUUCAAAUCAUUCGUUUGGUUUGAAGUGUAUAACUAUAUUUUUUAUUUUAUGUAAAAUUUAAAUUUUGUCA